rnacentral:lncRNA from 1 species
UUGUAUGCUAAUUGUUGGAUUAGAGAUGAUGUGUGAAAUCAUCUUGUGAUUUCUCUUGUUUUCUGAAUUCUCAACAGAUUAAUUAUCUAACCAUUGAAGAUGAAUGAGUUUGCAACAAACUUGGUGCUUUGAAUGAAGGUCUAGAAUAGCAUUUCAUCUGUAGUUGCUUGAUUGGUCAUAUGAAGAUUUGACAUAUGCCAAGCUGCCUAGCUAAGUUCACUUUUCCCCUAUCAAACGCUCAUGUUCCUCAUGUCUGAAUGAUCUAUCCACCUAGAAGUUACAUGCUAAUAUGUCAGGUUGUGAAACUCGAACUAGAUUUGUGGCCUCAAUUUAGUCAUGUAAUUAUUAUAUUUAAUUUUCUUUAUUUUGAUAUUAAUGUUCUUGUGAUUGAAAUAAAAAUGGUCAAGGGAUGUUAUACAAAUCUUUUGUCCAUUUUUGUUGAAUUAUUUUGCAUUUCGAAGCUUAAUUUUUUUAUUGGAGUUGGGAUUAGCACAAAAAGUGAAAUUCUUAAUUAUAGAUGUUACUUUUCUCGACUUAAAAUACAUGCAUAAGUGUAGAAGGAAUGCAAUAAUUUCACCUUCAUGAUGUUGGUCUACCUUCUUUAACAUGAACCUCACAGAAGGUAUUAAUGAUUUCUUAGUGGUUGUUUGUCAGUAUUCUAUCACACGAUCUUUUGAAUCAUUGAUUUGCUAGCCGCAGCUGCUUCUUAUUUAUUUAUUUUUAUCAUUAUUAUUUUAUUUUUUUCAAUUUUGUUUAAAUCGAUGAAAAGUUUGUUGAUUUUGUGUUUUACUUUUUGGAUUACGAACGGGGGUGAAAGCAAAGCCUUUGAAGCAACCAAAGGUUGACAAGAAAUAGUAUGACAAGGUAUUGAUUUACUACAAAGAACAUUCCAUUUGGAGUAGUUAUGAAGCUUUUUUCUGAUUAAUUAAUUUGAAUAUAUAAUCAUCAUCUAUCGAGGAAAAUAACAGCCUUUAGUUUUGAUGAAUUUCGAUUGAUUGUCUCUUAAUCAUUUUUUAUUUCCUUUCUUCUUUGUUAAUAACGACUUUUAUGAAAUAACCAUGUAUCAGAAUCCUGGAUCAUAAAUAAAGAAGGCAUG